GCAAUCGUAGCUCAAAGGUAGAGUGCCGACCACUCGGUAGGUAGUUGCGGGUUCGAUUCCCGCCGAUUGCG
rnacentral:tRNA from 1 species